GACGAACGCUGGCGGCGUGCCUAAUACAUGCAAGUUGAGCGCUGAAGGUUGGUACUUGUACCAACUGGAUGAGCAGCGAACGGGUGAGUAACGCGUGGGGAAUCUGCCUUUGAGCGGGGGACAACAUUUGGAAACGAAUGCUAAUACCGCAUAAAAACUUUAAACACAAGUUUUAAGUUUGAAAGAUGCAAUUGCAUCACUCAAAGAUGAUCCCGCGUUGUAUUAGCUAGUUGGUGAGGUAAAGGCUCACCAAGGUGAGGAUACAUAGCCGACCUGAGAGGGUGAUCGGCCACAUUGGGACGGAGACACGGCCCAUACUCCUACGGGAGGCAGCAGUAGUGAAUCUUCGGCAAUGGACGAAAGUCUGACCGAGCAACGCCGCGUGAGUGAAGAAGGUUUUCGGAUCGUAAAACUCUGUUGGUAGAGAAGAACGUUGGUGAGAGUGGAAAGCUCAUCAAGUGACGGUAACUACCCAGAAAGGGACGGCUAACUACGUG
rnacentral:rRNA from 1 species